GAGCGUCCGAUAGUGCAAUUGGCUAGCACGCACUCCUGGAAAGGAUGAAAUGCGGGUUCAAUUCCCAGCUGGCGUUCA